rnacentral:miRNA from 1 species
UUGAGGUAAUCUUUGGUUUUG